rnacentral:lncRNA from 1 species
UAUCUCGAAUAUUCAGCAUAUGCCCUGAAAAGGAUUUCACAUACUCCCUGAUAGAGCUCGUGUGUUUCAGGUCUCGAAGAGCCCGUCGAGCCUGAUACUCGACAUUUUCCGGGAAAAACUGCGAUCUGAUCGCUUCCUUUAGGAGAUCCCAAGAAUCAAUUCGAAUCCUGUGGGCCUGAAUGUCCGCAUAUUUGGUUCGCCACCAUAAUUUUGCAUCUCCACCCAAAUACAUGGUGGCUGUGGUUACCUUUCUAGCUUCAUCUUCGAUCGAAGCUGCUAGAAAGUACUGUUCCGUAUCAAACAAGAAGUUUUCGACUUCUUUU